CCACACAGACCACGCAAACAUCAAAAUAAAAGUACACAGAAAACCCACACAUACUGACCAAUAUGUCCUAUGGACAUCUGAACACUCCACUAUCCACAAACUGUUGGUAGUCAGAACAUUACAUGAACGUACUACAAUAAUCACGGACCUGGAAGACAGAACACAGGAGGAAAACCACUUACAACAUGCACUAAAAAGAUGUCAGUAUCCACUGGGCAAUAGCAAAAGGUGCAAGACAGGUUAAAAACAAAAACAACAUAACACAGGGGGAAAGAAAAAUAAACAAUCAAAACAAGAACACAGAUAUGGUGACGUUGAGAGGAGUUUCGGAAAGUAUCCAAAGAGCCAUGAGAAAAUACAACAUAAACACACCAGUAAAAUCACUCACAGCACUCCACCAGAUAUUGCUCCAUCCAAAGGACAAAAUCCACCCAAAAAACAAAUGCAACUCCACAUAUGAAAUUGUAUGUAAAUCAUGCAAUAAAUCAUACAUCGGGGAGAGAGGGAGGAGCUUUAUUACAAGAAAAAAAGAACACAAAGAGAGUAUGAGAAGAAGACAGAAAUAAGACAAACAAGAGCAAUAAAAUAACAGCACAACAGGAACACCACAAGUCAGCCAUCACCGACAACUGCAAAAGAGAAAACCACAUUAUUGACUGGGAAAAGGCCAGAGUCAUCUGCACCAAAGAAAACAAACAUAAGUGCUGAAUCAGGGAAGCCAGUGAAAUCCGCAAGUGGGGCCAGAGGACCAUCAACAAGGACGAGGGGGCUUACAGUACAUGCUUGCUACUACCUGGACAUGCAUCCUGGAAGACUGAAUGGUCAGCAGAGGGCGUCACUUGCCUAUAAAAUCUAACAAGUUGUCGCGUUCUGCUGCUGGUCAGAAUUUGUUUUUGUUGCAUAGCCGGCUGUGGGGGCGUGCCGACGUCGCACCUACAGCUAAUCCCUGCUCAUCAGUGAUAGUAUAUAAACGCAGGCCAUCCGGGAGAAGAAUGCCGAGCUAUUUUCCUUGCUGGUCGCCAUUUACAUACUGCUUUCGAGUCUCUUUGUAUUUGCCAUCUAGUUCGUCAGACGUCUUAGUUUUGUGAUCCUUUACCUUGUGCAGUCUUGUUCCCCGCAUUCGCGGACCUUAACACAGGUGACGCCUUCAUCAAUCAGUGGAUAAAGAUGCGUCACACCAACACCAGUGACACUCUCAUGAAGUCGGAAGUAGUCGCCGAAACAUGUCAGGCGUGCAUGAGUUUUCUGAUUGCAGGUUGAAUGCCAGACGGGUGGAGCGGCCACAGGUCACAAUCAGCAGCCUUGAAAAAGCCAGUGGACGCCUCACCUCGUCGCCAGAUCAAUUCGUCUAGUUCUGCUGACCUGUUUGUGCACGCCCCUUGUUGGAUCUCCAGGCCUGAUUUCCCCCCCGAGCUUUACGUGAGGCAUCACGUCGGUCUGGAUCUCGCCAGCAACGCCCGAACAAUAAACAAAAACAUUUUUGUUUUCAC